CUACGGGAGGCACCAGUGGGGAAUAUUGCACAAUGAGCGAAAGCUUGAUGCAGCCAUACCGCGUGUGUGAAGAAGGCCCGAGGGUUGUAAAGCACUUUCAAUUGUGAGGAAGGUUCAGUAGUUAAUACCUGCUGUUCUUGACGUUAACUUUAGAAGAAGCACCGGCUAACUCUGUGCCAGCAGCCGCGGUAAUACAGAGGGUGCAAGCGUUAUUCGGAAUUACUGGGCGUAAAGCGCGCGUAGGCGGAUUGUUAAGUCAGUUGUGAAAGCCCUGGGCUCAACCUGGGAACUGCAUCUGAUACUGGCAAUCUAGAGUUUGAGAGAGGGAAGUGGAAUUCCAGGUGUAGCAGUGAAAUGCGUAGAUAUCUGGAGGAACAUCAGUGGCGAAGGCGACUUCCUGGCUUAAAACUGACGCUGAGGUGCGAAAGCGUGGGUAGCGAACGGGAUUAGAUACCCUAGUAGUC
rnacentral:rRNA from 1 species